rfam:Stegodyphus mimosarum contig99046, whole genome shotgun sequence.
GCCUUCGUGGUGUAAUGGUCAUCACACUCGGCGCAUAUGCGAAAGGUCAGAGGUUCGAGUCCCGGCGAGGGCA